CUUUGGUGGCAGACAAUUGCGUGGUGUUUUGAUGUUUUUCAUCAAUUUAUAGUGAUUUCAUGUCAAAUAAAACAAUCAGAACAUUGUUCUACACAGUAUUUUGUGUGAUUUCGUUUGCAGUAAUGGUGAAUUGUUGUAUAAUUGGUUGUAAAAGCCGUAGUGAACGAAAAGAACCAAACAUAACCUUUCAUCGAUUCCCGAAUGAACCAAGUUUAAGAAAUAAAUGGACGGAGUGUACGGGCCGAGUACAUUGGCAUCCAAGUCAACAUUCUCGAAUAUGUUCCAGACAUUUUGAAUCCAGAUGCUAAAGUAUCUGAAAGUUCGAAUACAUCAUGCAGCUAAAAAGCUUUCAGAAAAGUCUGAUAUCGUCAGGAAUUUUUAAAACAAAUUAAUUUUGUUUAAGGGUCAGUGAUACUGAUUAAAGUAUUAUAUUAAA